rnacentral:rRNA from 1 species
AUUGAACACUGGCGGCAGGCCUAACACAUGCAAGUCGAGCGGAGCUGCGGACGGGUGAGUAAUGCCUAGGAAUCUGCCUGGUGGUGGGGGAUAACGUCCGGAAACGGGCGCUAAUACCGCAUACUAGCAGGUUAGCCUCGGUCGGAUUAGCUAGUGGUGGGGUGAAAGGCCUACCAAGGAGACGAGCCGUAACUGAACUGAGAGGAUGAUCAGUCACACUGGAACUGAGACACGGUCCAGACGCCUACGGGAGGCAGCAGUGGGGAAUAUUGGACAAUGGGCGAAAGCCUGAUCCAGCCAUGCCGCGUGUGUGAAGAAGGUCUUCGGAUGGUAAAGCACUUUAAGUUGGGAGGCGUUACCAACAGAAUAAGCACCGGCUAACUUCGUGCCAGCAGCCGCGGUAAUUC